AUUGAACGCUGGCGGCAGGCCUAACACAUGCAAGUCGAGCGGAUGAAGGGAGCUUGCUCCUGGAUUCAGCGGCGGACGGGUGAGUAAUGCCUAGGAAUCUGCCUGGUCGUGGGGGAUAACGUCCGGAAACGGGCGCUAAUACCGCAUACGUCCUGAGGGAGAAAGUGGGGGAUCUUCGGACCUCACGCUAUCAGAUGAGCCUAGGUCGGAUUAGCUAGUUGGUGGGGUAAAGGCCUACCAAGGCGACGAUCCGUAACUGGUCUGAGAGGAUGAUCAGUCACACUGGAACUGAGACACGGUCCAGACUCCUACGGGAGGCAGCAGUGGGGAAUAUUGGACAAUGGGCGAAAGCCUGAUCCAGCCAUGCCGCGUGUGUGAAGAAGGUCUUCGGAUUGUAAAGCACUGUAAGUUGGGAGGAAGGGCAGUAAGUGAAUACCUGGCUGUUUUGACGUUACCAACAGAAUAAGCACCGGCUAACUUCGUG
rnacentral:rRNA from 1 species